GGAAGAGCAUCGUUCCCGGUGGGGCGUCCGGACUUCAAAUCCGGGAAGGGCCGCGAGUCGGUUCUUGGUGGGUUCGACUCCCAUUCUCUUCCACCA
rnacentral:tRNA from 1 species